rnacentral:lncRNA from 1 species
CUUACCUUAAUUAACACUAACCUACCCCAAACCUUUUUCAUUCUCUAAAAAACCCACCGUCAUCGUCUCCCCUCAUCUCCCAACUCUCUCUCAAUCUAACCCUAACCCUAGUCGCCGUCACCGGCAUAAACCUCCCUCCUAUGAUGCUUCUAUGUCUUCUCCGACCACUCCUGGCCUUUUACGCUCCAUGGCUCUUCGACUUCAUGAGUCCUUGAGAAGAUCUCAAGGAACUCCAACUGGUUCUGGUUUGAAACUUUGUUUACCGGAGGUCUCGGGCCAUUUUUCAUUCGUAAGUAAGGAUCUCUCCUUGUUUUAUUACGAAUUUAUGGGUUCUUGACCUAUUCUAUUCACCUCUGCUAUUUUUGUGAAAACCUAGUUUGAUAUUGUCGGUUCUUCUCAGAUCUUUAUAGAUCUGAGGUGAUUCGAAUGUUAUUAAGUGUUUUCCUUAAAACAUCUCUUGUUUUAAUUGAUUAUUUUGAUUUUUAAUCACUCUUUCUAAACUAGGGUUCAUCUCAAACUUUUCUUCAACGAUUUUUCUAAGUUCUCAGUGUUUAGUUAAUUGUUUCUUCAUCAUCUUAACUUAUUUUCACAUGAAUGUUCAAACCCUAGUUGAUUUUGUGUGAUAUACUGGUUUCUUCGCUUUUGUUUCGAUACUUUGUUAUUUCUGUGAUACAGGUUAUAUAAAUUUACUCCGUUCUGGGAUUAAAUGUUUUCCUUGUUAAAUCCAAUAUUUCUUUGAACCUGUUUUCUUACUGAAUUCUGUAUUUCUGUGAAGCUUUACUUAUUUAAUUUCUAUUUAUGGAAUAUGAGUAAUUCUUUCCCAAAAAUCAGUAUUCUUUUGAAGGUUUUACUGACUAUUUCCUAUUAUUUUGCCCUGUUAAAAUCUGUAUGCACAGAUCUUAUUUAUUCCCUUAUUUGUGACUUUAAUUGAUCACACUUGCCUUAAUAAGUUAUCCGUAUGGUUUUGGGAUUCUUACUGAUUCCCUAUUUGGUAUGAUUUGGAUUCCUUACCCUAAUUAACCCCUUUUUGCUGUGACCGUUAAGUGAUUACCCCCAAUUAAGGGGUCCAUUCCGGACUCCCUUACAUGAAUUGAUUCUAUGAUUAUUUGAUUUCCCCCUAAUUGACUGAUUUCUGAUUCUCUUUACCUUAUUUGCUCUACUUCCUAAGUGCUAUAUAAACUCUCAUUCUGACUUCUUUAAACAUAGACAGUAGUUCAAAAAUACACAUACACACUCAAACUUUCUCUCAUCUCUCUUUCUGCUACUUGUGCUCAUUGCUCGUGUAGCCAGCUGAAAUCCAAGGCUAGAUUGUGGAACUUUACCUGCUUUACUUUCUGCACUUUGCUUCCUUGACUGCUAUGUUCUUAUUUUAAUAUCAUUCCGAAACUCAAAUCUAGUGCUCUAUAGUUGUUAAAUCCAUGCCUAUUUUCUCACUAAUUUAACUGAUUAUGUACUUAGUUGUUCUUCCUGUUUACUGCUUUGAUCAGUAUGCUUAAGUUUUACCCCCUCUUUUUCAGUGUUUUAAUCAGCAUGUCUAGGUUUCAAUAUUCUUGUUUGCUAUUUUAUCCAGCAUGUUUGCUUGAGCUCUUGUCUGUUUCCUUCAACUAGCAUGCUCAUUUUAAGUAGUUCAGGCUCUUAAUUUAUCUGAUUAACCACAAUUGGUAUGACUAAUUCUGUGUGGUAGACCCUUCUCCUCAAUAUGAAAAUUUCUGCAUUCUGUCUCUAUGCUAUAAUGUCUAUUAACUUUAGCUUUAAGUAUAAUUUCCUUGUUAAUAUUUUGAAUCAGUAGUUUGUAAUCUAAUUCUAUGAAUUUGGUCACUGGUUCCCUGUUUGUUCUGCGUACUUAUUGAUCAAUAUGCUUCCCCUCUUAUCCAUGUUCAUGUGUUUCUGAUUUAAGAUCCCUAUGUUCCCAACCCCCCUAAUCCCUGUUUGUAAACUUGUUUGUCUUCACUUAGAAUCAAGUAAUAAAUGGCUUUGAAUCUGGGCAUCUAAGUUUUGUGAUUAUGUGGUUGUUUGUUCAAUCUUUGUUCUUCUCAAAAUUGCAUCCAAAACUGUUUUCACUUUUAACAUUUUCUUAAAACUGUUUCCAUUCCUGAUAUAUCUUUUCCCUCCUAAAAUUUUUACCUCUAUACUGUUUUUACUAAGUUCUUCCAACUAUGUCAAAGAUUCUCACUUCUACUCUUAGAUUAUCUAAGUUCUGCCUCUCCAGUGUGUGUACUGCCUAGGUAUACAUGAGAUUCUUCCAAACUCUGGCACACUAAGGCUGGCCCUUCCAGACCGCACAUAACUACUUCUCUAUAUAUAAGGACCUUGGUGUGAGCAUUUCCCGGGGUUCAUGAGGCCCUUGGGAACUUUGACGCACCAGGAUACCACAUUGGAUAUGAUGGACUAUGACAUCUUGGACUGUUUUGAAGGCCUGGUACUUCCAGGUUCCCUUUGGGCCUAUUUCAGGCUCCAUAUAGCAUAACUUAUAUUUAUUAUGUAAUUUAUUUAUUUAUGGUCUGUAAUGAUAAUCAUUGAAAACAGUUAUUGGGAAAAUUAGUAAAAGGGAGGGA